GAUGAACGCUGGCGGCGUGCCUAAUACAUGCAAGUCGAGCGAACAGACGAGGAGCUUGCUCCUCUGACGUUAGCGGCGGACGGGUGAGUAACACGUGGAUAACCUACCUAUAAGACUGGGAUAACUUCGGGAAACCGGAGCUAAUACCGGAUAAUAUAUUUAACCGCAUGGUUCAAUAGUGAAAGACGGUUUUGCUGUCACUUAUAGAUGGAUCCGCGCCGCAUUAGCUAGUUGGUAAGGUAACGGCUUACCAAGGCAACGAACCGUAGCCGACCUGAGAGGGUGAUCGGCCAAACUGGAACUGAGACACGGUCCAGACUCCUACGGGAGGCAGCAGUAGGGAAUCUUCCGCAAUGGGCGAAAGCUUGACGGAGCAACGCCGCGUGAGUGAUGAAGGUCUUCGGAUCGUAAAACUCUGUUAUUGGGGAAGAACAAAUGUGUAAGUAACUAUGCACGUAUUGACGGUACCUAAUCAGAAAGCCACGGCUAACUACGUG
rnacentral:rRNA from 1 species